rnacentral:rRNA from 1 species
AGUGAACGCUGGCGGUAGGCCUAACACAUGCAAGUCGAACGGCAGCACAGUAAGAGCUUGCUCUUACGGGUGGCGAGUGGCGGACGGGUGAGGAAUACAUCGGAAUCUACUUUUUCGUGGGGGAUAACGUAGGGAAACUUACGCUAAUACCGCAUACGACCUACGGGUGAAAGCAGGGGAUCUUCGGACCCUGCGCGAUUGAAUGAGCCGAUGUCGGAUUAGCUAGUUGGCGGGGUAAAGGCCCACCAAGGCGACGAUCCGUAGCUGGUCUGAGAGGAUGAUCAGCCACACUGGAACUGAGACACGGUCCAGACUCCUACGGGAGGCAGCAGUGGGGAAUAUUGGACAAAGGGCGCAAGCCUGAUCCAGCCAUACCGCGUGGGUGAAGAAGGCCUUCGGGUUGUAAAGCCCUUUUGUUGGGAAAGAAAAGCAGCAGGUUAAUACCCCGCUGUUCUGACGGUACCCAAAGAAUAAGCACCGGCUAGCUUCGUG